rnacentral:rRNA from 1 species
GGCUACACACGUGCUACAAUGGGUAGUACAGAGNAGUCGCAAAGCCGCGAGGUGGAGCUAAUCUCAGAAAACUAUUCUUAGUUCGGAUUGUACUCUGCAACUCGAGUACAUGAAGUUGGAAUCGCUAGUAAUCGCGAAUCAGCAAUGUCGCGGUGAAUACGUUCUCGGGUCUUGUACACACCGCCCGUCACACCACGAGAGUUGGUUGCACCUGAAGUAGCAGGCCUAACCGUAAGGAGGGAUGCUCCGAGGGUGUGAUUAGCGAUUGGGGUGAAGUCGUAACAAGGUAUCCGUACGGGAACGU